AGCAACGCGAAGAACCUUACCAGGUCUUGACAUCCUUCUGACCGGCCUAGAGAUAGGCUUUCUCUUCGGAGCAGAAGUGACAGGUGGUGCAUGGUUGUCGUCAGCUCGUGUCGUGAGAUGUUGGGUUAAGUCCCGCAACGAGCGCAACCCCUAUUGUUAGUUGCCAUCAUUAAGUUGGGCACUCUAGCGAGACUGCCGGUAAUAAACCGGAGGAAGGUGGGGAUGACGUCAAAUCAUCAUGCCCCUUAUGACCUGGGCUACACACGUGCUACAAUGGUUGGUACAACGAGUCGCAAGCCGGUGACGGCAAGCUAAUCUCUUAAAGCCAAUCUCAGUUCGGAUUGUAGGCUGCAACUCGCCUACAUGAAGUCGGAAUCGCUAGUAAUCGCGGAUCAGCACGCCGCGGUGAAUACGUUCCCGGGCCUUGUACACACCGCCCGUCACACCACGAGAGUUUGUAACACCCGAAGUCGGUGAGGUAACCUUUUAGGAGCCAGCCGCAUA
rnacentral:rRNA from 1 species